rnacentral:precursor_RNA from 17 species
CCAAAGACUCGUUCCCCUUUACCCAGGGUGACUGGUUUCUUCUGGUGUUCAGAGUCAUGGUUCAGUUCUAGCACCAUUUGAAAUCGGUUACAAUGCAGAGGGAAAGACUCCAAGAGUGGU